AUUGAACGCUGGCGGCAUGCCUUACACAUGCAAGUCGAACGGCAGCACGGGGCAACCUGGUGGCGAGUGGCGAACGGGUGAGUAAUGCAUCGGAACGUACCUUUCAGUGGGGGAUAACGUAGCGAAAGUUACGCUAAUACCGCAUAUUCUGUGAGCAGGAAAGCAGGGGAUCGCAAGACCUUGCGCGGAUUGAGCGGCCGAUGUCAGAUUAGCUAGUUGGGGAGGUAAAGGCUCACCAAGGCGACGAUCUGUAGCGGGUCUGAGAGGAUGAUCCGCCACACUGGAACUGAGACACGGUCCAGACUCCUACGGGAGGCAGCAGUGGGGAAUUUUGGACAAUGGGGGCAACCCUGAUCCAGCCAUGCCGCGUGAGUGAAGAAGGCCUUCGGGUUGUAAAGCUCUUUCGGCCGGGAAGAAAUCGCACGGGCUAAUACCCUGUGUGGAUGACGGUACCGGGAUAAGAAGCACCGGCUAACUACGUGCCAGCCGCCGCCGUAACAC
rnacentral:rRNA from 1 species